rnacentral:rRNA from 1 species
GUCCAUGGCCAUACCAUCCUGAACACGCCCGAUCUCGUCCAAUUUCGGAAGCUAAGCAGGUCAAGCCUGGUUAGUACUUGGAUGGGAAAAUUGUAUGAAAUUCAAAAUUUCAGUGCCC